rnacentral:lncRNA from 1 species
AGAAAAUCAUCCCUCCAAAAAAACCGCCCACUAAAGUUGUUCCUCGAAAAGAGCCACCAGCUAAAGUACCGGAGGUGCCUAAGAAAAUUGUGGUAGAAGAAAAAGUACGUGUUCCUGAAGAGCCCAGAGUUCCACCAACUAAAGCACCCGAAGUACCCAAGAAAAUUGUCCCAGAAGAAAAAGUUCGUGAAGCUGUUCUGAAAAAGCCUGAAGUUCCACCAGCUAAAGUGCCUGAAGUGCUGCCACCGAAGGAAGUGGUCCCAGAAAAGAAAGUACCGGUGCCUCCUGCCAAAAAGCCAGAAGCUCCACCUCCUAAAGUGCCUGAGGCUCCCAAAGAAGUUGUUCCUGAAAAGAAAGUGCCAGUGCCUCCUCCUAAAAAGCCUGAAGUGCCACCCACAAAAGUCCCAGAGGUGCCAAAGGCAGCUGUCCCAGAAAAGAAGGUGCCUGAAGCUAUUCCUCCCAAACCGGAAAGUCCUCCCCCUGAAGUGCCUGAAGUGCUGCCACCGAAGGAAGUGGUCCCAGAAAAGAAAGUACCGGUGCCUCCUGCCAAAAAGCCAGAAGCUCCACCUCCUAAAGUGCCUGAGGCUCCCAAAGAAGUUGUUCCUGAAAAGAAAGUGCCAGUGCCUCCUCCUAAAAAGCCUGAAGUGCCACCCACAAAAGUCCCAGAGGUGCCAAAGGCAGCUGUCCCAGAAAAGAAGGUGCCUGAAGCUAUUCCUCCCAAACCGGAAAGUCCUCCCCCUGAAGUGCCUGAAGUGCUGCCACCGAAGGAAGUGGUCCCAGAAAAGAAAGUACCGGUGCCUCCUGCCAAAAAGCCAGAAGCUCCACCUCCUAAAGUGCCAGAGGCUCCGAAAGAAGUUGUUCCUGAAAAGAAAGUGCCAGCGGCUCCUCCUAAAAAGCCUGAAGUCACACCUGUUAAAGUGCCUGAGGCUCCCAAAGAAGUUGUUCCUGAAAAGAAAGUGCCAGUGCCUCCUCCUAAAAAGCCUGAAGUGCCACCCACAAAAGUCCCAGAGGUGCCAAAGGUAGCUGUCCCAGAAAAGAAGGUGCCUGAAGCUAUUCCUCCCAAACCGGAAAGUCCUCCCCCUGAAGUGUUCGAGGAGCCUGAGGAAGUUGCCCUAGAAGAGCCUCCUGCUGAAGUUGUGGAAGAGCCAGAGCCAGCGGCGC